rnacentral:pre_miRNA from 14 species
AUUUUUAUUUUGCUAAUGUCCACUUAUUAGUGAGUAUACACUAUGCGUGAAAGACCCCCGGAGCGGGGAGACCCUCACUCAAGUCUCAGGAUGAUGCGACCCCCCAAGAACUCACGUGAGACC